CACCAUCUGAUUCAUCAAUGGCAUCAUAUACUGGUGACGGGGCCAGAAGGCCUAUGAAAGCUUUCCCUCCCUGCGCCUCCUUAUCCACUUGACUCCACAUCCACUCCCUCCUGUUCGCUUGACAGGCAUUUCUGAAUUGAAGAACCAUGUCUUACCCCAACCAGCAGCAAUGCAAGCAGGUUGUGUGUCCUCCACCAGUGAUUCCUCCCCAGAAGUGUCCUCCACCGCAGUGUCCUCUACCAAAGUGCCCUCCAUCGAAGUGUCCUCCACCUCAGUGGCCUGACCAGAAGUGCCCUCUCCCGCAGUGGCCUGACCAGAAGUGCCCUCCACCACAGUGUCCGGACCAGAAGUGCCCUCCACCACAGUGUCCUCAGCAACAGUGACCUCCACAGAAGUGAAGGGUAAUGCCCCAACCCACCAUGGCAGCAUCCAUCGCCAAGAAACAAAGAGCAAGCCAGCAAGUCCCAGCAUGUCCCUUCAGCUUCUUUCACAUCUGCUUCUCUUCUCUCCUUGCUUCCUAAAGUGUUUCUGUGGUGGUUUCAUAGCUCUGCUCUUGAACCCUACAUUAAUUUGUUCUAAGUGACAUCUUAAAAUCUGUGUAUAUUUUAAUUGACUUUCUAUCUUAACUUCCUGGCAUUCCCCCUUCAGGCUGGAUGUGGAUAUGGGGAUAUGUGACCUUGAAUCAUUCCAUAGUGUUUCCUUCAUACCUGUUAAGUGCAACCAUGUUGAAAUAAAAGUUCUUCAUGGCA